rnacentral:rRNA from 1 species
GACGAACGCUGGCGGCGUGCUUUACACAUGCAAGUCGAACGGAAAGGCCCUGCUUUUGUGGGGUGCUCGAGUGGCGAACGGGUGAGUAACACGUGAGUAACCUGCCCUUGACUUUGGGGUAACUUCAGGAAACUGGGGCUAAUACCGGAUAGGAGCUCCUGCUGCAUGGUGGGGGUUGGAAAGUUUCGGCGGUUGGGGAUGGACUCGCGGCUUAUCAGCUUGUUGGUGGGGUAGUGGCUUACCAAGGCUUUGACGGGUAGCCGGCCUGAGAGGGUGACCGGCCACAUUGGGACUGAGAUACGGCCCAGACUCCUACGGGAGGCAGCAGUGGGGAAUAUUGCACAAUGGGCGGAAGCCUGAUGCAGCAACGCCGCGUGCGGGAUGACGGCCUUCGGGUUGUAAACCGCUUUCGCCUGUGACGAAGCGUGAGUGACGGUAAUGGGUAAAGAAGCACCGGCUAACUACGUG